rnacentral:rRNA from 1 species
GUGGGGAAUAUUGGACAAUGGGCGAAAGCCUGAUCCAGCCAUGCCGCGUGUGUGAAGAAGGUCUUCGGAUUGUAAAGCACUUUAAGUUGGGAGGAAGGGCAGUAAGUUAAUACCUUGCUGUUUUGACGUUACCGACAGAAUAAGCACCGGCUAACUUCGUGCCAGCAGCCGCGGUAAUACGAAGGGUGCAAGCGUUAAUCGGAAUUACUGGGCGUAAAGCGCGCGUAGGUGGUUUUGUAAGUUGGAGGUGAAAUCCCCGGGCUCAACCUGGGAACUGCCUCCAAAACUGCAUGACUAGAGUACGGUAGAGGGUAGUGGAAUUUCCUGUGUAGCGGUGAAAUGCGUAGAUAUAGGAAGGAACACCAGUGGCGAAGGCGACUACCUGGACUGAUACUGACACUGGGGUGCGAAAGCGUGGGGAGCAAACAGGAUUAGAUACCCUAGUAGUCC